rnacentral:misc_RNA from 1 species
UACGGAGGGGGCUAGCGUUGCUCGGAAUUACUGGGCGUAAAGCGCGCGUAGGCGGCGAGACAAGUUGGGUGUGAAAGGCCGGGGCUCAACCCCGGAACUGCACUCAAAACUGGCUUGCUAGAGUCCGAGAGAGGGUAGUGGAAUUCCCAGUGUAGAGGUGAAAUUCGUAGAUAUUGGGAAGAACACCAGUGGCGAAGGCGGCUACCUGGCUCGGUACUGACGCUGAGGUGCGAAAGCGUGGGGAGCAAACAGG